UGGGGAAUAUUGCACAAUGGGGGAAACUCUGAUGCAGCGACGCCGCGUGAACGAAGAAGGUUUUCGUAUCGUAAAGUUUUGUCCUAUGGGAAGAUAAUGACAGUACUAUAGAAGAAAGCUCCGGCUAAAUACGUGCCAGCAGCCGCGGUAAUACGUAUGGAGCGAGCGUUGUCCGGAAUUAUUGGGCGUAAAGGGUACGCAGGCGGUUUAAUAAGUCGAAUGUUAAAGAUCGGGGCUCAACCCCGCAAAGCAUUGGAAACUGAUAAACUUGAGUAGUGGAGAGGAAAAUGGAAUUCCUAGUGUAGUGGUGAAAUACGUAGAUAUUAGGAGGAAUACCAGUGGCGAAGGCGACUUUCUGGACACAAACUGACGCUGAGGUACGAAAGCGUGGGGAGCAAACAGG
rnacentral:rRNA from 1 species